AUUUUAGAGAAGUAAAAGUCGUAACAAGGUUUCCGUAGGUGAACCUGCGGAAGGAUCAUUAUUGAACUUUGAAUACUUGUGGCUUCGAGCUGUUGCUGGCCUCUCUAACAAGAGGCAUGUGCACGCUUGGG
rnacentral:rRNA from 1 species